GCACAGUGGGAGCUAAAGAGUUUCACAAAGGGCAGGGUUAUUUCAGAAGGUGCUGGCAUAUUACGGGAGUGGGAGAGGACCCAGAGUAUUUCAGCGAGAUGCUGGAGUCUUCCAGGGUGGCCUAGAAUAUUUCAGAGAUGGAAUCUCAUUCUGUCGCCCAGGCUGGUCUCGGCUCACUGCAACCUCCGCCUCCCGGAUUUAAGCAAUUCUCCUGCCUCAGCCUCUUAAGUGGCUGGGAUUACAGACGCCUGCCCCUAUGCCUGGCUAAGUUUUGUAUUUUUAGUAGAGAUGGGAUUUUACCAUGUUGGCCAAGCUGAUUUCAAACUCCUGACCUUGUGAUCUGCCCACCGCCACCUCCCAAAGUGCUGGAAUUACAGGCAAGAGCCACCGCACCCGGCCUAUACCCGUUUACAGACAGAGAAAGCAAGACUUAGAGAAGAUAAGAGCGGGGUGCCUAGUACAGUUGGUGCUUCUGAUUCUCAUUCUGAACUGACUGACUGAAUGGAUGGAUAAAUUAAGAAGAGAGAGGUGGGAGUGAGGUGGUCAAGGUUAAGGUGCCAACCUCACCUCUCAUCCGGGUUCAAUCAUGCCCACAACCAUGCCCACCAUCUUGUCCCUGGCUCCCAACCACCUGAGGGACCACAGUCCUUGGGAGCUGGCCACUCUGCUGGGUGUGCUGAAAUCCUCUAAGAUGAAUAAAGAGAAACCUUUCCUGCCAAGCAGCUGACAAGUUUGGUUCUGCCUGAGAAUUGAGACUGCAGACUCCGUGGGGAGGGUUCACCCCCAAACGCCUAAGAGCUACCAAAAGAUUACAGGUAAAAAAUUAGCCCAGCUGCUUUCUCAGAGGCCCUAGGGAAAUAAGGGAAGCUCGUUCUUUAUUACAGCAAGAAUUAUUUCAGUUAGACUGCAGAAGGACUUGACAGAGAAGGGGAACAAACCAGAUAGGGAAUUCCUUAUCGAAUCAUGGAAAUGAUACAUGUGGUCCCUGUAGGCAGCUUUAUAGGGUAAGCUUUGGAAAAGGAGGGAGGCUGAGUGAGUAGGAACCACGGUUCCCACAGUUCCUGCACAGGGGAACCAUUGUCUAAUGGAGGGGACAUGUCAUAUCCCCCGGUCAAGAGCCAAAUGAAAAGGCCACAUGGAAAGGAGAGGGGGAGGGCACCCUGAUAAAAGGAGUCCAUGUGGUCACAUGGGAGCUAUUCCUGGAGGAGCAGGGGUGAGAGGAGUGUGAAGGUGUCCCAGGGAAGAAGUCGAGUUUAUCAAACCUCUGCUGAGACCCAGAACCAUGCUAAUGAGCACUUUACAUAUGGUGUCACAUUUCAUCCAUUCAUUCAACAAAUAUUUACUCAAUGUGCCAGGCCCUGUGCUAGGGCUUGAGGAGAGAGCUGUGAACAAGGCAGAUCCAGGCUCCCCUCUUGGAACUUAGAAGUGGAGGAGACAGUCAACAGAUGUGUGAUGUCAGGGGUGAUGCUUGCUUUGAAGGGAAGAAAGCAAGGAGGGGCUAGAAUGUUGGCAAUCAGGGGUCAGGGCUGAAUAAGAGAAAAAACAUUUUUUUUUAAGUGAAAGAAGGCCUCUCUGCAGAGGUGACAUUUAGCAGUGACCUGAAUGAAGUGAGGGAACCUUGAGCGCAAAGGCCCCAGGCAAGAGUCUGCCUGGGAGGCCUGAGCAAGGGGAACCGAGAGAUGUGCUCUUGCUGGUGGACCUUGUCCGCUACAGGAAGGAUGUUUGAUUUUAUUAUCAAUGUGAUGGGCUGAGUAAUAUGGUUUAUGUUUUAAAAUAAUUUUUAAUUUAGUUUUUGAAUAGAUAAUACAUCCGUAUGGUUCAAAAAGAAAAACAUAUUUUAAAACCCUGUAAAGUGUAACGGCUCUGCCAGCCUCACUCCUAUCUCCGUCCCUCAUCUCCUUAUUUCUUCCCUUCUGCCAACCACAUUCGUGAGUUUUUUGGUUGUCUUCCUUCCAAGAUUUCUUUAGGCAAAUACAAGCAUAUAUUCACUUAAUAUUUAUAUAAUACUUACUAUGUGCUGGACCUUCUUAUAAAUUCUUUAAGAGAUUAUUAACUCAUUUAAUCUUUAUAACCCAAUCCUAGGAGGUAAUUUUUUUUUUUGUUUCGAGACAGAGUCUUGCUUUGUUGCCCAGGCUGGAGUGCAGUGGAGUGAUCUCAGCUCACUGCAACCACUGCCUCCCAGGUUCAAGCGAUUCUCCUGCCUCAGCCUCCCAAGCAGCUGGGACUAAGGGGCACCCCACCAUGCCUGGCCAAUUUUUGUAUUUUUAGUAGAGAUGAGGUUUUACCAUGUUGGCCAGGCUGGUCUUGAACUCCUGACCUCAGGUGAUCCACCUGCCUCAGCCUCCCAAAGUGCUGGGAUUGCAGGUGUGUGCCACCAUGCCCAGCCUCUUUUUUUUUUUUUUGAGACAGGGUCUCGCUCUGUUGCCCAGGCUGGAGUGUGGUCACAAGCUCACAGCUCACUGCAGCCUCAACCUCCUGGGCUGAAGCGAUUUUCCCACCUCAUUCUCCCAAGUAGUGGGACUACAGGUGUGUACCACUACUCCCGGCUAACUUUUGUAUUUUAUUUUAUUUUUUGUAGAACCCCUAGCCAUGUUGCCCAGGCUGGUCUCAAACUUUUGAGUUCAAGUGAUCCUCCUGCCUCAGCCUCCCGAGGUGCUGGGAUUACAAAUGUGAGCCACUGUGCCAGCCAGCUAAGUACAGUGCUCCCUAUUUUACAGAUAAGGAAUCUAGAACACAGAGAGAUGAACUAACCUGGCCAGGGUUGCACAGCUUCUAAGGAGCCAUGUUAGUUCCUAGGGCUGCCAUGACAAACUGAAUGGCUUAAGACAACAGAAUUGAUUCUCUCACAGUUCUAGAGGUGAGAAGUCCAAAAGCCAGGUAUUGGCAGGGCUCAUGCCUUCUAGGGGCUCCAGAAUCUGUUCCAGGCUUCUCUCCCAGCUCCGGGUGUUGCUGGGAAUCCUCAGCAUUCCUUGGUUUGUAGAUGGUUCACUCCAAUCGGCUGUGUCUUCACAUGGCAUUCUCCAUCAUCUCUGUCUCUGUGUCCACAUUUUCUUUCUCUUAUAAGGACACCAGUCAUAUUGGAUUUAGGCCCACGCUGAUCAGGAAUGACCUCAUCUUAACUUGAUUAUGUCGGCAAAUACCUUAUGCUCAAAUAAGGUCACAUUCACAGGUUCUGGUGGGCAUGAAUUUGGUAGGACACUAUUUAACCCAGUACAGUAGCAGAACUUGCAUCUGAACUCAGGCAGACCAGCUUCUGAGUGUGUGCUCUUAGUCACAGGUUAUAUGGUUAUACUGCCACUCAGUAAGAAUAUAUAUAAUUUAUUAUAGAUUCAUAUAAUAUAUAUAACAUACAACAUUAUUAUACAUAUUAUAAGAGAUAUAUAUAAUUUCCCUUUUCCUACAAAAGGUAAAAUAUCAUACUUGCUGCUCUAUACCUUGCUUUUUAAAUUUUUACUUAUUUUUGUGACUGAGUCUUGCUCUGUCACCUAAGUUGGAGUGCUGUGCAACCUCUGCCUCCCAGGCUCAAGCACUCCUCCCACCUCAGUCUCCCAAGUAGCUGGGACUAAAGGCACAUGGCACUACACCUGGCUAAUUUUUGUAUUUUUUGUAGAAAUGCAGUUUUGCUGUGUUGCCCAGGUUGGUCUUGAACUCUUGAGCUCAAGUGAUCCGCCCACCUCAACCUCCUAAAAUGCUGGGAUUACAGGCAUAAGCCACCGCACCCUGCACCUUGCUUUUUAAAACUUAGUAUCUUUUUUUUUUUUUUGAGACAGAGUCUUGCUCUAUUGCUCAGGCUGGAGUGUAGUGGUGCACUCUUGGCUCACUGCAGCCUCCACCUCCCAAGUUCAAGCGACUCUCCUGCUUCAGCCUCCCAAGUAGCUGGGACUACAGGUGUGCACCAUCACACCUGGCUAUUUUUUGUAUUUUUAGUAGAGAUAGGGUUUUACCACUUUGGCCAGGCUGGUCUCAAACUCCUGACUGCAAGUGAUCCGCCUCAGCCUCCCAAAGUGCUGGGAUUACAGGUGUGAGCCACCAUGCCUGGCCAAACUUAGUAUCCUUUAUUUUAUUUAUUUUUUGAAAUGGAGUUUCGCUCUUGUUGCCCAGGGUGGAGUGCAAUGGUGCGACCUUGGCUCACUGCAACCUCUGCCUCCUGGAUUCAAGCGAUUCUCCUGCGUCAGGCUCCCAAGUAGCUAGGACUACAGGCACACACCACCAUGUCCGGCUAAUUUUGUAUUUUUAGUAGAGACAGGGUUUCUCCAUGUUGGUCACGCUGGUCUCAAACUCCCGACCUCAGGUGAUCUGCCCACCUCGGCCUCCCAAAGUGCUGGGAUUACAGGUGUGAGCCACCACACCUGGCCCUUAGUUUUUAUAAAACUUUCCCUAUUAGAACACACAGAUCACCGUUUCUGGUGGCAGGGUCUGGGAAAGGGGCAUCAGGUGCCAUGUCCAGCCUCGAAGGUGGCAAGAAGCCCCUGAAACAGCCCAAGAAGCAGGCCAAGGAGAUGGACGAGGACAAUAAGGCUUUCAAGCAGAAGCAAAAAGAAGAGCAGAAGAAACUCAAGGAACUAAAAGCGAAGGUCAUGGGAAGGGCCAUGGUGGAAUUAAGAAAUCUGGAAAAAGUAAGCUAUUCCUUUUCCCUGAGGAGUUGGUGACUUUUUAUUUCAUCCGUAUUUAAACACCUGUAUUCCCUGCCAUAACAUCUUUUGCCACCUAUAGCUGGAUUAAGUGUUGGAGCUAUUGCACAUUUAAGAAUAAACUUUGUAAAAAAAAAAAAAAAAAGAACACACAGAUCUCCCUGACUCCCUGAUUCUUUUUCAUAGCCACAUAGUAUUCCAUUUUAUGGGUGGAUUGUGUUCUACCUAAUCUAGCCCCUUACUAAUGGACAGUUGAGUUGUUUCCAAUCUUUGGCAAUUACAAACAGUGCUGCUGAGAAUAACUUUAAACAUACAUGAUUUAUUACUCAUGCAAGUCUAUCUGAAGCAUAAAUUCCCAGAAAUACGUUAUCUGAAUGCAUUUUGAUAGAUUUCGCCAAAAUGCCCUUUUACCAAUUUAUAUUCACAUGUGUGAGAGUCAUGUGUGAGAGCACACAUGUAAGAGUAGUACUAUUUCCUCAUAGACAUGGUCACAGGGCCGGGCGAGGUGGCUCAUGUCUGUGAUCCCAGCGCUUUGGGAGGCUUAGGCAGGCGGAUCACAAAAUCAGGAGACUGAGACCAUCCUGGCCAACAUGGUGAAACCCCACCCAUCUUUACUAAAAAUACAAAAAUUAGUUGAGUGUGGCAGUGCAUGCCUGUAACCCCAGCUACUUGGGAGGCUGAGGCGGGAGAAUUGCUUGAACCCAGGAGUCAGAGGUUGCGGUGAGCUGAGAUCUCACCACUGUAUUCUAGCCUAGAAACAGAGCAAGACUCAGUCUCAAAAAAAAAAAAAAAAAAAAAGGAAAAAAAGAAAUUGCCCACAGAAUAUGUUAUUCAACUUUGUCAUUGCUUUUUUUUUUUGUAGCCAGACUGAUAAGACAUCUUAAUCCGUUUUGUGCUGCUAUAAUAAAAUCCCACAGAAUGGAAUAAUAGUCAUAAACAGAAAUGUAUUGGCUCACAGUUUUGAGGCUGGGAAUUCCAAGAUUGUGGGGCCCACAUCUGGCAUGGACCCUCUUGCUGGGUCGUCCUAUGGUGGAAGGGCAAAGAGAGUGUGAGAGAGAGGAAGAGGGAACUGAACUUGCCCUUUUAUAAUGAACCUGUUUCCAAAAUAAUAAACCCACGCCUGCUGUAACAGCACCACCAACCCAUUCAUGAGGUGGAACCCUCACGACCUAAACACCUCUCUUAGGCCCAGCCUCCCAACACUGCUGCAUUGGGAUUAAGUUUCUAGCACCUGCUUUUCUGGGCAUAAUGUUCAAACUGUAGCAAUAUCCUAGUCUAGUUUUUCUGGUUUGCAUUUCUUUUGAGUUUGAGCUUCUCUUCUUGUAUUCAAGAGUCUUUGGAUUUGCUUUUCUGGGAACUGUCAGUUCAUAUGCUAGGCCUCUGUUUCUAUAAGAUUGCUGGUCCUUUUAAUCAAUUUCUAGGAAUUCUUUCUAAAUGAGUGAGAUGUUCCCUUGUCUGUGAUCAGAGUUGCAAAUAUUUCCCCCCAGUUUGUCAUUUGUCUUAUGCGUUGGUUUAUAGUGUUUUUCCAUGCAGAAGUUUCUGAUUUUUAUAUAGUUGACUUUAUCAAUCUUUUUUACAACUUUUUGAUUUUUGAAUCAUGGUUAAACUUUCCCCACUAUGAGAUUAUAAGUUCCCCCAUGUUUUCCUCUAGUGCCUUUAUGGUUUUAUUUUAAUUUUUCUAAAAUUUAAAUUUUUUUUUUUUUUUGAGAUAGAGUCUCACUCUGUAGUCUAGGCUGGAAUGCAGUGGCGUAAUCUUGGCUCACUGCAACCACCGUCUUCCAGGUCCUGGUUCAAGCAAUUCUCCUGCCUCAGCCUCCCGAGUAGCUGGAAUUACAGGCACACACCACCAUGCCCAGUUAAUUUUUUUUUUUUUUUUGAGACAGAGUCUUGCUCUGUCACCCAGGCUAGAGUGCAGUGAGUGGCGUGAUCUUGGCUCACUGCAACCUCCGCCUCCCAGGUUCAAGCAAUUCUCUGCCUCAGCCUCCCAAUUAGCUGGGAUUACAGGUGCCUGCCACCAUACCUGGCUAAUUAUUUUCGUAUUUUUAGUAGAGACAGGGUUUCACCAUGUUAGCCAGCCUGGUCUUGAACUCCUGACCUCAUGUGAUCCACCCACCUCGGCCUCCCAAAGUACUGGAAUUACAGGCAUGAGCCACAGCACCCGGCCUAAAAUUUAAAUCUUUUAUCCCACCUGGAGCUCAUCCAGGUGUUCAGUGUGGGCCACAGAUCUAAUUUUUUUUCCCUAGUUGGCUAUCGAGGUGUCCCAACACCACUUAUUAAAGAGUCCAUUUUCCACUUUGAGAGGCCACCUUUAUCAAAUACUAAAUUCCCGUGUGCAAUUAGGUCUAUUCCUGGACUUACUAUUCUAGUCCAUUGGUCUAUUUGUCUGUUCCUGAACCAAACCAAGUUGUUUUAAUUAUUAUUUUUGUUUUGUUUUGUUUGAGACUGAAUCACACUCUGUCACCCAGAUUGGAGUGCAGUGGUGUAAUCUCGGCUCACUGCAAUUUCCGCCUCCCGGGUUCAAGCAAUUCUUCUGCUUCAGCCUCCCGAGUAGCUGGGGUUACAGGUGCCCUCCAUCACGCCUGGCUAAUUUUUGUAUUUUUAGUAGAUACGGGGUUUAACCAUGUUGGCCAGGCUCAUUUUGAACUACUGACCUCAAGUGAUCCACCCGCCUCAGCAUCCCAAAGUGCUGGAUUAAGGUGUGAGCCACUGUGCCGGCCCUAAAUUGUUUUAAUUUUUGAGGCUUUACAUAUUUUAUAGUAGUCGGGUGAGUGUUACCUUUUCUUUUUCAGAAUUUUUCUAGCAUUCUUUUUCUUUCUCUUUCUGUCCUUUGUUGUUUGUUUUCAGGGGUGGGGAACCUCAGGAGACCUCUUGUAGGGGAAAAGAAAAUCAAUAAUUACAUGUCAUUUGGUAGUGGCUAAGAAAAAAAAAUUAAGCGGUAAAAGAACAGAAGGCAACUAAGGAGUAAUAUUUGGAUGGGAAGCAAGGGAAGGCCCCUGGAGGAGGGGGAGAUACCUGAGUGAAGGGAGGGAGACCACGUGGCUACUUGGGGGGAAAACAGGCCUGGCAGAACCAAGGGCGAAUGCAGAGGCCUGAGGCAGGAGCAUGCCUGGCAUGUAGAAAACAGCAAGGCAGCCAGUGUAGCUGGAAGGGAGUGACCAGAGCAGAGAGUGGGAGGCGGUGAGGUAGAUCAUGCAGGGCCUUGUAGGUCACAGCAAGGACACCGGCUUUUCCUCUGACACCAGGAGCCAUGGGGGUGGGAGUUGAGCAGAAGAGUGACAUGUUCUGACUCCCGUUUUAACAGGAUCACUCAGAUUACUGCGUGGAGCACAGACUGCCGGGGUGAGGGCCGCGGCAGAGAGGGCAAUAGGAUUUGGGAUGGGUGAAUAUAUCGUAACUUGGUUUCCUUGUCCAUUUUCCCCUACCUAACUUUGCAAGGACAGGCCCUGAGCUUAUUCAGCUCUAUGAGUGAAGUGCCAGGCCCAGAGUAGGUGCAGAUAAACACUGUGUGAGGAAGAAGUGUGGGAGGACAGAGGAGAUAGAAGGAGGCAGGAGACGCAGAACCCCUGGGAAAUGGCUCUUCAAAGGCCACAGAAAGAAGAGGAAGCAGACAUGAUGACAGAGCCUGUUCCCCAGCAGGAACCCAGGCUGAUAGGGGCUGAAGCUGGGGAGCUGGGCCCCCAGCCCAAUGCCUGCCCAAUCCCAGAUCUGUGGCCUUCAUCAGCAAUCAGGUUAUGUGCAGUUUAUGCUGGAGUUCUGCCACCAAAGGGACCCUGGCGGGCAUGGGGGGCGGGCUCUAUUCCUCAAGGUGCAGGUGCAAAGGUGAGAUCGCCUGGCAGAGAGGAGAGCAGCUUUCCUGAAUCCUGGCACACAGAGGCCCUGAGAAAGGACAAUUCGCCCCCUUUAUAGACGAUGCUGAUAAGCUGCUCCUGGGCAAAGGGGAAAUGGAUUGUGAUGACGUCUCAAGUCCCAGACCUUCAAAUGGACCCAGGCUGUGGGGGAUCUGGCCAGUGCCGACACUUAGUGGUUCUUUCAGGGCCAGGUGAGCCCGCACAUGCCCUCAGGACAGUUGAGCAGGUCUGGGCUCUGCACCAAGUACCUCAGGCAAGGUAAUCACUCUCCCUGGGCCUCAGCUCCGGGAAAUCUCUUGGGCAGUGGUUGGGGUGGGCAGGAAUUAGAGGCCUUCUAAUUGCAAAUGGAGUGGGCUGCUUCAAGAGUAGUUAGCUCCCUGCCUCUGGAGGUACGUAAGCAGGGACUGGGCAAGCACUGGGUAGAGAUUCACUCACUCAUUAAGUCAAUAAACUCCUAUUGAGACUCUUUUUUGGGCCAGGGCCUGUGGCCAUCAUUGUCAUUAGAAGAUAUAGUGACAAGGCAUCUUUACCCUCCUGUAGCUUACAUUUUUUUUUUUCAGAUGGAGUCUUACUCUGUCGCCCAGGCUGGAAUGCAGUGGUGCAAUCUCAGCUCACUGUAACCUCUGCCUCCCAGAUUCAAGCCAUUCUCCCUCCUUCAGCCUCCAGAGCAGCUAGGAUUACAGGUGCCCAGCACCACGACCAGCUAAUUUUUUUUUUUUUUUGAGACAAAAUGUGUCUCUCUGUCACCCAGGCUGGAGUGCAGUGGCGCAAUCUCAGCUCACUGCAACCCCUGACUCCCUGAUUCAAGGGAUUCUCCUGCCUCAGCUUCCCAAGUAGCUAGGAUUACAGGCAUGCACCACCAUGCUCAGCUGAUUUUUGUAUUUUUAGUAGCAAUGGCGUUUCACAAUGUUGGCCAGGAUGGUCUUGAUCUCCUGACCUUGUGAUCAGCCCGCCUCAGCCUCCCAAUGUGCUGGGAUUACAGGCAUGAGCCACCACACUUGGCCUUUUUUUUUUUUUUAAAGAUGGAGUCUUGCUCUAUUGCCCAGGCUGGACUGCAGUGGCACCAUCUUGGCUUACUGCAACCUCUGCCUCCUGGGUUCAGGUGAUUCUUCUGCCUCAGCCUCCCGAGUAGCUAGGAUUACAGGCAUGUGACACCACACCCGGCUAAUUUUUUUGUGUUUUUAGUAGAGACAGGGUUUCAGCAUCUUGGCCAGGCUGGUCUCGAACUCCUAACUUUGUGAUCUGACCGCCUCGGCCUCCCAAAGUGCUGAGAUUAGAGGCGUGAGUCACCGUACCUGGACUGGCUAGAGUUCAAAGGCUUGAUCUUGGCUUAACUGCAGCCUCAACCUCCUAUACACAAGUGAUCCUCUGGCCUCAGCCUCCCAAUUAGCUGGGACUACAGGUGCAUGCCGCUAUGCCCAGGUAAUUUUUAAAAAUUUUUAGACCGGGCGCGGUGGCUCAAGCCUGUAAUCCCAGCACUUUGGGAGGCUGAGGCGGGUGGAUCACGAGGUCAAGAGAUCGAGACCAUCCCGGUCAACAUGGUGAAACCCUGUCUCUACUAAAAAUACAAAAAAAUUAGCUGGGCAUGGUGGUGUGUGCCUGUAAUCCCAGCAACUCAGGAGGCUGAGGCAGGAGAAUUGCCUGAACCCAGGAGACGGAGGUUGCGGUGAGCCGAGAUCGCGCCAUUGCACUCCAGCCUAGGUAACAAGAGGGAAACUCUGUCUCAAAAAAAAAAAAAAAAAAAAUUUUAAGUAGAGGCUGGGCCUGGCAGCUCAAGCCUGUAAUCCCAGCACUUUGGGAGGCCGAGGCUGGGGGAUCACCUAGAUCAGGAGUUUGAGACCAGCCUGACCAACAUGGUGAAAUCCGGUUUCUACUAAAAAAAUACAAAAUUAGCUGGGAGUGAUGGUGCAUGCCUGUAAUCCCAGCUACCAGGGAGGCUGAGGCAGAAGAAUUGCUUGAACCCAGGAGGCGGAGGUUGCAGUGAGAUGAGAUCGCACCAUUGCACUCCCAUCUGGGCAACAAGAGUGAAACUUCCAAAACUCAGUCUCAAAAAAAAAUUUUUUUUUAGUAGAGAUGGGGUCUCGCUAUGUUGCCCAGGGUGGUCUUGAACUCCUGGCCUCAAGCAAUCAUCUCACCUUGGCCUCCCUAAAUGCUGAGAUUACAGGUGUGAGCCACCACUGCCAACCUAUAACUUACAUUAUAAUGGGGAGAUAUUAAAUAGUGCCAGGAAAGUGUGUGCUCCAUACUGUAGGGGCUGGUCAUGAAAACUCCAACCUCCUACCCCUAUAUAAAGUGACUUCUAAACUGAGAUUUUUUUUUUCUUUUUUUUGAAAUUGAGUCUCUGUCACCUCUCUGUCUCCCAGGUUCCAGCGAUUCUCCUGCCUCAGCCUCCUGAGUAGCUGGGACUGCAGGUGCAUACCACCAUGCUCAGAUAAUUUUUAUAUUUUUAGUAGAGAUGAGGUUUUGCCAUGUUGGCCAGGCUGGUCUUGAACUCCUGACCUCAGGUGAUUCGCCCACCUUGGCUUCCCAAAGUGCUGGGAUUAUAGGCGUGAGCCACUACGUCCAGCCCUAAACUGAGAUUUGAAGAACAAAUACAAGUUAAGUAGGAAAGGGAAGGGUGUUUGGGUCUGAGAACAACAGGUGCAAAGGCUCAGAGGCGAG